rnacentral:rRNA from 1 species
GACGAGGGGUCCUAGCGUUGUCCGGAAUCACUGGGCGUAAAGCGUUUGUAGGCGGCCCUAUAAGUCGGGUGUGAAAUCCCACGGCUCAACCGUGGAAGUGCAUUCGAAACUGUAGGACUUGAAUAUGGUAGAGGAGAGUAGAAUUCCAGGUGUAGUGGUGAAAUACGUAGAUAUCUGGAGGAAUACCGGUGGCGAAGGCGGCUCUCUGGACCAAUAUUGACGCUGAGAAACGAAAGUGCGGGGAUCAAACAGG